rnacentral:rRNA from 1 species
GAUGAACGCUGGCGGCGUGCCUAAUACAUGCAAGUCGAGCGAAGCGGGGACGGGUGAGUAACACGUGGAUGACCUCCUACAAGACUGGGAUAAUUUCGGGUAACCGGAGCUAAACUGCCGCGUUUUUGCUGGAUUUGCGCUGCAUUAGCUAGUUGGUAAGGUAACGGCUUACCAAGGCAACGAUGCAUAGCCGACCUGAGAGGGUGAUCAGCCACACUGGAACUGAGACACGGUCCAGACUCCUACGGGAGGCAGCAGUAGGGAAUCUGCCGCAAUGGGCGAAAGCCUGACGGAGCAACGCCGCGUGAGUGAUGAAGGUCUUCGGAUCGUAAAGCUCUUUUAUUAGGGAAGCGGUACCUAAUCAGAAAGCCACGGCUAACUACGUGCCAGCAGCCGCGGUAAUUC